GUGAGUAACACGUGAGUAACCUGCCCUUAACUCUGGGAUAAGCCUGGGAAACUGGGUCUAAUACCGGAUAUGACUCCUCAUCGCAUGGUGGGGGGUGUAAAGCUUUUUGUGGUUUUGGAUGGACUCGCGGCCUAUCAGCUUGUUGGUGAGGUAAUGGCUCACCAAGGCGACGACGGGUAGCCGGCCUGAGAGGGUGACCGGCCACACUGGGACUGAGACACGGCCCAGACUCCUACGGGAGGCAGCAGUGGGGAAUAUUGCACAAUGGGCGAAAGCCUGAUGCAGCGACGCCGCGUGAGGGAUGACGGCCUUCGGGUUGUAAACCUCUUUCAGUAGGGAAGAAGCGAAAGUGACGGUACCUGCAGAAGAAGCGCCGGCUAACUACGUGCCAGCAGCCGCGGUAAUACGUAGGGCGCAAGCGUUAUCCGGAAUUAUUGGGCGUAAAGAGCUCGUAGGCGGUUUGUCGCGUCUGCCGUGAAAGUCCGGGGCUCAACUCCGGAUCUGCGGUGGGUACGGGCAGACUAGAGUGAUGUAGGGGAGACUGGAAUUCCUGGUGUAGCGGUGAAAUGCGCAGAUAUCAGGAGGAACACCGAUGGCGAAGGCAGGUCUCUGGGCAUUAACUGACGCUGAGGAGCGAAAGCAUGGGGAGCGAACAGGAUUAGAUACCCUGGUAGUCCAUGCCGUAAACGUUGGGCACUAGGUGUGGGGGACAUUCCACGUUUUCCGCGCCGUAGCUAACGCAUUAAGUGCCCCGCCUGGGGAGUACGGCCGCAAGGCUAAAACUCAAAGGAAUUGACGGGGGCCCGCACAAGCGGCGGAGCAUGCGGAUUAAUUCGAUGCAACGCGAAGAACCUUACCAAGGCUUGACAUGAACCGGUAAUACCUGGAAACAGGUGCCCCGCUUGCGGUCGGUUUACAGGUGGUGCAUGGUUGUCGUCAGCUCGUGUCGUGAGAUGUUGGGUUAAGUCCCGCAACGAGCGCAACCCUCGUUCUAUGUUGCCAGCACGUUAUGGUGGGGACUCAUAGGAGACUGCCGGGGUCAACUCGGAGGAAGGUGGGGACGACGUCAAAUCAUCAUGCCCCUUAUGUCUUGGGCUUCACGCAUGCUACAAUGGCCGGUACAAAGGGUUGCGAUACUGUGAGGUGGAGCUAAUCCCAAAAAGCCGGUCUCAGUUCGGAUUGGGGUCUGCAACUCGACCCCAUGAAGUCGGAGUCGCUAGUAAUCGCAGAUCAGCAACGCUGCGGUGAAUACGUUCCCGG
rnacentral:rRNA from 1 species